rnacentral:rRNA from 1 species
GACGAACGCUGGCGGCGUGCUUAACACAUGCAAGUCGAACGGAAAGGCCCUGCUUUUGUUGGGUGCUCGAGUGGCGAACGGGUGAGUAACACGUGAGUAACCUGCCCUUGACUUUGGGAUAACUUCAGGAAACUGGGGCUAAUACCGGAUAGGAGCUCCUGCUGCAUGGUGGGGGUUGGAAAGUUUCGGCGGUUGGGGAUGGACUCGCGGCUUAUCAGCUUGUUGGUGGGGUAGUGGCUUACCAAGGCUUUGACGGGUAGCCGGCCUGAGAGGGUGACCGGCCACAUUGGGACUGAGAUACGGCCCAGACUCCUACGGGGGGCAGCAGUGGGGAAUAUUGCACAAUGGGCGGAAGCCUGAUGCAGCAACGCCGCGUGCGGGAUGACGGCCUUCGGGUUGUAAACCGCUUUCGCCUGUGACGAAGCGUGAGUGACGGUAAUGGGUAAAGAAGCACCGGCUAACUACGUG